rnacentral:rRNA from 7 species
GGGUUGUGAGGUUAAGCGACUAAGCGUACACGGUGGAUGCCCUGGCAGUCAGAGGCGAUGAAGGACGUGCUAAUCUGCGAUAAGCGCCGGUAAGGUGAUAUGAACCGUUAUAACCGGCGAUUUCCGAAUGGGGAAACCCAGUGUGAUUCGUCACACUAUCAUUAACUGAAUCCAUAGGUUAAUGAGGCGAACCGGGGGAACUGAAACAUCUAAGUACCCCGAGGAAAAGAAAUCAACCGAGAUUCCCCCAGUAGCGGCGAGCGAACGGGGAGGAGCCCAGAGCCUGAAUCAGCAUGUGUGUUAGUGGAAGCGUCUGGAAAGGCGCGCGAUACAGGGUGACAGCCCCGUACACAAAAGCGCAUGUGCUGUGAGCUCGAUGAGUAGGGCGGGACACGUGGUAUCCUGUCUGAAUAUGGGGGGACCAUCCUCCAAGGCUAAAUACUCCUGACUGACCGAUAGUGAACCAGUACCGUGAGGGAAAGGCGAAAAGAACCCCGGCGAGGGGAGUGAAAAAGAACCUGAAACCGUGUACGUACAAGCAGUGGGAGCACCCUUCGGGGUGUGACUGCGUACCUUUUGUAUAAUGGGUCAGCGACUUAUAUUCUGUAGCAAGGUUAACCGUAUAGGGGAGCCGGAGGGAAACCGAGUCUUAAUUGGGCGUUAAGUUGCAGGGUAUAGACCCGAAACCCGGUGAUCUAGCCAUGGGCAGGUUGAAGGUUGGGUAACACUAACUGGAGGACCGAACCGACUAAUGUUGAAAAAUUAGCGGAUGACCUGUGGCUGGGGGUGAAAGGCCAAUCAAACCGGGAGAUAGCUGGUUCUCCCCGAAAGCUAUUUAGGUAGCGCCUCGUGAAUUCAUCUCCGGGGGUAGAGCACUGUUUCGGCUAGGGGGCCAUCCCGGCUUACCAACCCGAUGCAAACUGCGAAUACCGGAGAAUGUUAUCACGGGAGACACACGGCGGGUGCUAACGUCCGUCGUGAAGAGGGAAACAACCCAGACCGCCAGCUAAGGUCCCAAAGUCAUGGUUAAGUGGGAAACGAUGUGGGAAGGCCCAGACAGCCAGGAUGUUGGCUUAGAAGCAGCCAUCAUUUAAAGAAAGCGUAAUAGCUCACUGGUCGAGUCGGCCUGCGCGGAAGAUGUAACGGGGCUAAACCAUGCACCGAAGCUGCGGCAGCGAACGUAUCACCCAAGACAACUUUACGGAGUUGACGAUUGACGGAGCGAAGCGACGUCAAAGCGUUCAUUAAAGUCGAGUUGGCUUAGGGAUACGUUCGUUGGGUAGGGGAGCGUUCUGUAAGCCUGUGAAGGUGUGUCGUGAGGCAUGCUGGAGGUAUCAGAAGUGCGAAUGCUGACAUAAGUAACGAUAAAGCGGGUGAAAAGCCCGCUCGCCGGAAGACCAAGGGUUCCUGUCCAACGUUAAUCGGGGCAGGGUGAGUCGACCCCUAAGGCGAGGCCGAAAGGCGUAGUCGAUGGGAAACGGGUUAAUAUUCCCGUACUUGGUGUUACUGCGAAGGGGGGACGGAGAAGGCUAUGUUGGCCGGGCGACGGUUGUCCCGGUUUAAGCGUGUAGGUGUGUGUUCCAGGUAAAUCCGGUUCACUUUAACACUGAGGCGUGACGACGAGGCACUACGGUGCUGAAGCAACAAAUGCCCUGCUUCCAGGAAAAGCCUCUAAGCAUCAGGUAACACGAAAUCGUACCCCAAACCGACACAGGUGGUCAGGUAGAGAAUACCAAGGCGCUUGAGAGAACUCGGGUGAAGGAACUAGGCAAAAUGGUGCCGUAACUUCGGGAGAAGGCACGCUGACACGUAGGUGAAGUGAUUUACUCAUGGAGCUGAAGUCAGUCGAAGAUACCAGCUGGCUGCAACUGUUUAUUAAAAACACAGCACUGUGCAAACACGAAAGUGGACGUAUACGGUGUGACGCCUGCCCGGUGCCGGAAGGUUAAUUGAUGGGGUCAGCGCAAGCGAAGCUCCUGAUCGAAGCCCCGGUAAACGGCGGCCGUAACUAUAACGGUCCUAAGGUAGCGAAAUUCCUUGUCGGGUAAGUUCCGACCUGCACGAAUGGCGUAAUGAUGGCCAGGCUGUCUCCACCCGAGACUCAGUGAAAUUGAACUCGCUGUGAAGAUGCAGUGUACCCGCGGCAAGACGGAAAGACCCCGUGAACCUUUACUAUAGCUUGACACUGAACAUUGAGCCUUGAUGUGUAGGAUAGGUGGGAGGCUUUGAAGUGUGGACGCCAGUCUGCAUGGAGCCGACCUUGAAAUACCACCCUUUAAUGUUUGAUGUUCUAACGUGGACCCGUAAUCCGGGUUGCGGACAGUGUCUGGUGGGUAGUUUGACUGGGGCGGUCUCCUCCUAAAGAGUAACGGAGGAGCACGAAGGUUGGCUAAUCCUGGUCGGACAUCAGGAGGUUAGUGCAAUGGCAUAAGCCAGCUUGACUGCGAGCGUGACGGCGCGAGCAGGUGCGAAAGCAGGUCAUAGUGAUCCGGUGGUUCUGAAUGGAAGGGCCAUCGCUCAACGGAUAAAAGGUACUCCGGGGAUAACAGGCUGAUACCGCCCAAGAGUUCAUAUCGACGGCGGUGUUUGGCACCUCGAUGUCGGCUCAUCACAUCCUGGGGCUGAAGUAGGUCCCAAGGGUAUGGCUGUUCGCCAUUUAAAGUGGUACGCGAGCUGGGUUUAGAACGUCGUGAGACAGUUCGGUCCCUAUCUGCCGUGGGCGCUGGAGAACUGAGGGGGGCUGCUCCUAGUACGAGAGGACCGGAGUGGACGCAUCACUGGUGUUCGGGUUGUCAUGCCAAUGGCACUGCCCGGUAGCUAAAUGCGGAAGAGAUAAGUGCUGAAAGCAUCUAAGCACGAAACUUGCCCCGAGAUGAGUUCUCCCUGAGACUUAGAGUCUCCUGAAGGAACGUUGAAGACGACGACGUUGAUAGGCCGGGUGUGUAAGCGCAGCGAUGCGUUGAGCUAACCGGUACUAAUGAACCGUGAGGCUUAACCUUACAACGCCGAAG